CUCCUACCCUCGUGACAACCCGUGGGUAUCGGUGCUUUCAUUUCCUCAGAAGUCUCUUUCUUCCAACAAAGUGGGUCUCCAGAGAGGUGAGAUGACUUGCCUGAGGGUGAUCAGUGAGCUCAAAGAAGAGCACAGGUGAGGACCCUCCCACGCCUGGCGCAGCACUUACAGUUUACAGAGCACCUCCCUUCCUGGAGCAGAUGCUUCCACCGCGGGCAGCCAGCACCCGUGUCUCUCAGAGGCUGGCGCCGGGCCUGCGUUUACAGGGAGCUGGAAGUGCAUGACCUCCUGAGGGGAACUCACGUCCUCCAGUCACUGCUGCAGGAUCCAUCCAAAGCGGGACUUUGAGAUGACACACCCUUGCUUGGCUUCUGUCCCUUCCAUGUCCUGGUCUCCCAUCCUCUACCAGCCCUCCUGGGGAUGCUUCACAGUAAGUAGACUAUGUCAGGUUAUGUUAUACUAUAGUAUAUGGAAUCCUUUCUUUACUUUCACAGGAAUCCUCAUCUCAGGCUCACCUCCUGGGGACCCUAACCUAAGACACCUGCCAUAGUCUCCUUCAUGCUUCCCUGUCACUGUCCCCACUGCACAG
rnacentral:lncRNA from 1 species